rnacentral:rRNA from 1 species
UUGCACAAUGGAGGAAACUCUGAUGCAGCGACGCCGCGUGAACGAUGAAGGCCUUCGGNUCGUAANGNUCUGUCCUAGGGGACGGNCAUGACGGUACCCUAGGAGGAAGCGCCGGCGAACUACGUGCCAGCAGCCGCGGUAAUACGUAGGGGGCGAGCGUUGUCCGGAAUUAUUGGGCGUGAAGGGUUCGUAGGCGGUUCUUUAAGUAAGGUGUGAAAGGUCACGGCUCAACCGUGGUAAGCACUUGAAACUGAAGGACUUGAGUUAAGGAGGGGAAAGUGGAACUCCUAGUGUAGCGGUGAAAUGCGUAGAUAUUAGGAGGAAUACCAGUGGCGAAGGCGACUUUCUGGACUUAUACUGACGCUGAGGAACGAAAGCGUGGGGAGCAAAC